UCCACCUGUUCUUGUACUUAGUGUGCUGUUGGCGUGCUGCGUGACUCUAAUCGUUGCUCUUAUUGUCUACAUAAAACUAACAGUUGUUGGACAUUGUGAAGGGGCCGAUACAGGGCCAUCAGGACGACGCAAGUCAUCGAGGAACCAGGCAACAGACACAGGCGCUCGUGGAGAUGAAGCCAAUUAUGUAGCUCUUAAUUUCGCCACAAGGAAGACAAAAGGCGUGAAGAAGAGGAUAGAAUCACCACCAGAGUGUGUGUACUCAGGUGUGAGAGGAGGUCAUCCCACACUGCAUGAAAUGUCUUAGAGCAGGACCUGUGUGUGUGUA